GCAAACUUGGUCAUUUAGAGGAAGUAAAAGUCGUAACAAGGUUUCCGUAGGUGAACCUGCGGAAGGAUCAUUAAUGAAAAAUCCUCAAGGGGGUUGUUGCUGGCCUUUCGAGGCAUACGUGCACGCUCCUUUUUUUCAUCCACUUCACACCUGUGCACAUUAUUUGCGAGAGGGGAAUGUCAUCCGUUCCCUUCCGCUUUAUUUUACACACUCUGUAAGAACUGUCAGAACGAAAUUGUUAUUAUGUAACAAAUCUUAACAACUUUCAACAACGGAUCUCUUGGCUCUCGCAUCGAUGAAGAACGCAGC
rnacentral:misc_RNA from 1 species